AAAUGAAGGUGACUGAGGGGGCACAAAGAGUUGGGAUGGGACAGAAGCAGGACAGCUGACCUAAACUGGCCAAAGGGAUACUCCAUUCCAUAUAACAUCUUGCAGAAACCUUGAAAAAUGGUAGGAACUUGGCCAAGAGAGAAGCCACUGCUCAGGGACAGGCUGGGCAUUGGCCACCUGACCCAAAUUUUGCUUUGCCAUUCUGCUUGUGGCAGAAGAACAAAGGUUGUUAAAUACUUAAUUACCCGGAUGGUACACAUGGCUGAUGGAUUGACUUGGAUCAACGCAGUUGUAAUUAUUUCACCACAGUGUGGCUGACUAAGAUGGAUACUUGGACUUCACUCAAUGGUUUUCAACAUUCCACCAGAAAUAAACAGAGCACAGACUAUUCUCAAUAUGUUUAUGCAUCACUAACUUAUAUUAGUUUUGGAAACUGUGAAAUUUAUGCCAAUUGUUUGUAAAACAGAGUACAGUUUUGAUUUUUUUUUUCUUGUCCCGCAGCCCAGAAUCAAUAUGUGUACAAUUUCCAUCCUCCUUACAUUACGUACUAUUCCUAAGAGCUGAGGCCAAGAAAUAAAUUGACCUAAUUCUUUUUCUC
ensembl:lncRNA